rnacentral:rRNA from 1 species
AUCUUGGUGGUAGUAGCAAAUAAUCGAAUGAGAUCUUUGGAGGACUGAAGUGGAGAAGGGUUUCGUGUGAACAGUGGUUGAUCACGAGUUAGUCGGUCCUAAGUGUAAGGCGAAAGCCGUAAAAAUUUAAAGUUUUAUUCAUCUCAUAUAUAUGCAAUAAUAUAAAAUACUUUAAAUUUAAAUAACACGAAAGGGAAUACGGUUCCAAUUCCGUAACCUGUUGAGUAUACGUUUGUAAUAAAUAUGGUCUUAUGAUCAUCCUGGUAACAGAAACAAUCAUAGAGAAGCCGUCGAGAGAUAUUGGAAGAGUUUUCUUUUCUGUUUUAUAGUUGUACUACCAUGGAAGUCUUUCGAAGAGAGAUAUGGUAGAUGAACUAGAAGAGCAUGGCAUUUACUGCUGUGUCAAUAUUUUCUCCUCGGACCUUGAAAAUCUAUGAUUGGGCCACGCAAACUUCUCAACAGGCCGUACCGAUAUCCGCAGCUGGUCUCCAAGGUGAAGA